CCGGAAAGACUAACAGGAUUCCCCUAGUAACUGCGAGUGAAGCGGGAAAAGCUCAAAUUUAAAAUCUGGCGGUCCUUGGCCGUCCGAGUUGUAGUCUGGAGAAGUGCUUUCUGCGCUGGACCGUGUAUAAGUCUCUUGGAACAGAGCGUCAUAGAGGGUGAGAAUCCCGUCUUUGACACGGACUACCAGUGCUUUGUGAUGCGCUCUCAAAGAGUCGAGUUGUUUGGGAAUGCAGCUCAAAAUGGGUGGUGAAUUCCAUCUAAAGCUAAAUAUUGGCGAGAGACCGAUAGCGAACAAGUACCGUGAGGGAAAGAUGAAAAGCACUUUGGAAAGAGAGUUAAACAGUACGUGAAAUUGCUGAAAGGGAAACGCUUGAAGUCAGUCGCGUUGUCCGGGACUCAGCCUUGCUUUCGCUUGGUGCACUUUCCGGAUGACGGGUCAGCAUCGAUUUUGACCGUCGGAAAAGGGCUGGAGUAAUGUGGCACCUCCGGGUGUGUUAUAGACUUCAGUCGCAUACGGCGGUCGGGAUCGAGGAACGCAGCGCGCCGCAAGGCAACACGCUUAGGAUGCUGGCAUAAUGGCUUUAAACGACCCGUCUUGAAACACGGACCAAGGAGUCUAACAUACCUGCGAGUGUUUGGGUGGAAAACCCGAGCGCGUAAUGAAAGUGAAAGUUGAGACCUCUGUCGUGGAGGGCAUCGACGCCCGGACCUGACGUUCUCUGACGGAUCCGCGGUAGAGCAUGUAUGUUGGGACCCGAAAGAUGGUGAACUAUGCCUGAAUAGGGUGAAGCCAGAGGAAACUCUGGUGGAGGCUCGUAGCGAUUCUGACGUGCAAAUCGAUCGUCAAAUUUGGGUAUAGGGGCGAAAGACUAAUCGAACCAUCUAGUAGCUGGUCCUGCGU
rnacentral:rRNA from 2 species